ensembl:lncRNA
AAAAUCAGUCAAAUUCUUCUCAUUUGCUCAAUUCAAAAGCCUUUUAUUGUCAGAAAUCACAGAAAAUCACAAUAUCAAAAUAGCAGAGGUAAAUCACGUGGAAUAAAAACACACAGUAACGCGAGCUAGCUUCAUAAUCCAGUGUGUAGAAAAGAUCGCAGCGUAUGUAAACAUCGGAUUCACAUUAUGCCGUGUUUGAGUUUGUAGGGACGUUUUUCUACGUUAACACUUCCAGCGACCGUCGAGUCAAAGCCCUUUAUAUAAAAAGCUCUAGAAAAGAUUUGUGUUGAUAGAGAAAUACCUACUGUAGGUCAAAAUACAGCUCCGACAGUUCUAGCGUACACAUCUACAUCGUCAUAAAGAGCCUCGGAUCAGAAGGAGAUAAAAACCAGGAAACUAACGCGAGAAGGAAGAAACUCCUGAAUCGAAAGAAAGACUGAAAGAAACGAAAGACAUUGCCUAAAUUGAGAGAAAUAAACACACAAAUAUAUAUAUAUAUACUUAUAUAAACACAGGAAUAAAUACGUCAGAGAAAUCAAUAUACGAAUUCAUGAAUGAAGGAAGAAAGGACGUCGUUCAGAGAGAAUGACUGAACGAGAAGAAAGAAAGAAGGAAUGUCUAAAAUGGAAAGAGAAAGAAAGAAAUGAUCAUUGUGACCCUGAUCAGGAUAAGGCAGAAAGUGAGAGGGGGUGAAAAAUAAGAGAGAAAACAGAAGAAGAGAAAAUAGAGUAAAGAAAGGAAAUUGCCUAAAUUUAAAGAAAGUCAGAUAGACAGAAAGAGACAAAGAGAGGAAAUAAAGAAAUUGCUUAAAUGAAAGAAAGAAAGAAAUGGGUGUAAAGAAAGAAAAUACGGAAGAGAGAACAAAAAAUAAAAAAGGGGGAAAAAAUAUGAACGAGGAAAAAAUAGGAAAGGAACAAGAAAGAAAGAAAGGAGAAUAAAGAAAAAAAGAGAAUAAAUAAAGAAAUGGCCUAUGCUGAAAAAGGUAGAUAGAGUGAAGAAAGAAACGAUGAGAAGAAAGGAUGAAUGAAAGAAGAGGGAAAAAAAUAUAACAGGAACAAGAAAGAAAGAGAAGAAAACAGAAAAAAAGAAGACAGUAAAAUUUUAAAGAACGAAAUGACCUAAAUUGAAGAUAGAUAGAUAGAUAGAUAGAUAGAUAGAUAGAUAGAAACUAGUUAAAUGAAAGAAAGGAGGAAAGAAAGAAAGUCCUGACUUGUUCGUAGCUUAUUAGAGAGGUUACAGUGCAAUAUGCAGAGGAUGUUUUGGUAAAGAGCUCUUCCUCUGAAGACUCAUCACAUAUACAUUUUAGAAUUUUUAUACUUUAGAAUUUUUUUUUUUUUUUCAUUUUUACAUUUUUUAAUAAUAAAUAGAAAUCGGUUUCGCAGUCACCGAGUUUCACACUCCUAGUGUGACGACGAUAAAAAAUUUUCCCCUCCAGCGUCAGGGGACAGUGACCUCAUCGCAGUAUUCCCGGCGUCCCCGGAGACACCGCGGUCGGUUUGACUACGUCUGACCUGAACGCCUCGUACCAAAACAAUCAGGCGCCGAAUGACAUCACUUCACAGCUGGUGCAAGCCAGAGGGUUCACGGGUCACGUGAUGCACCGGGGCAGCGCUCGUCCGAGAGGGGGAGAGUGGGAUGAGAUGUGGAACAUGUGGAUGUGAUGGUAUGACCAAAAAACACUUCACCAAACACCAGUAAGUACACAUGAGGACAGAAAGAACCAUAUCCAGGGACGAGGACUGCCUGCGUCUUCACCUCCACGUCACUCUCCUCACGUCCGAAUCCCACCUGCAGCACAGGGAACCGUAUUAUAUUCCAUUCACCUCUUCGAAUCGCCCGGAAAUACUUUUAUUUCAAUAACCUCGCGUCACUUCCAUUCGAACGCUUGAAUUACCACCGAG